UUUAUUAUAUAAAAUGAUACAAAAUUGAUAUGUUACUUGGAAAGGCAAAAAAAAUGGUUAAAAUUUUCAACCUUGUUUAUACUAUGAUCCUUUUUAGUUUUCUAUUUCUUGUUGUAGCCAACAUUGAAGAAGAGAUAAAAGAGUGUGUCACUGACGCUGAUUGUUAUAAAAAAUAUCCCAAACAAAGUUUUCUAAUUUUGACAUGCCGUGAAGGUAUAUGUAUGACCAAUCUUGCUGGAUGAGGUAAAACUAUUUAUAUAUUAUCUCUAAGUCUUUUCCUUUCCUUUCUCAUCCUAAUGUUGUUACUCUUAUAAUUUUUUCUCAAUUUCACAUAUUUAUUUGCUUUA